UACGUAGGUGGCAAGCGUUGUCCGGAUUUAUUGGGUUUAAAGGGUGCGUAGGCGGUUCUGUAAGUCAGUGGUGAAAUACUCCAGCUUAACUGGAGGGGUGCCAAUGAUACUGCAGAACUUGAGUACAGAUGAGGUAGGCGGAAUUGACGGUGUAGCGGUGAAAUGCAUAGAUAUCGUCAAGAACACCUAUAGCGAAGGCAGCUUACUGGGCUGUAACUGACGCUGAGGCACGAAAGCGUGGGGGAUCAAAACAGGG
rnacentral:rRNA from 1 species